UGCGGUGUAGAGCAGUGGUAGCUCACCUGGUUCAUAACCAGAAGGUCGCAGGUUCGAAUCCUGUCGCCGCUCCCA
rnacentral:tRNA from 1 species